CUGCUAUGCCCACCUAAUUUCAUUAUCUUCGCGCGUGUUUCCUUAGGGCGCUCCACAAAAAAUUUUCAUUUCACCGCCAUGUGCUAAAAUCCCUCCACAAAUCGACAGUUACUUAAUCUCAAUUCCCACUAUCUUAAAAAUUUUCGUUUCAUUUUAUAUUCACGCGCGCUCCAAUUUCGGGGUUGUGCGCUUCGCCCAUUUUCUGAAGAAGGGGCGCUACGCCCAGCCCCAGCGUAUGGGCACCGGAGCGCCCAUCUAUAUGGCUUCUGUGCUCGAGUACCUUGCCGCUAAGGUGCUGGAAUUGGCCGGAAACGCCGCGAGGGACAACAAGAAGAGUAGGAUUGUGCCAAGGCCUGUGCAGCUGACAGUACGGAACGACGAUGAAUUGGGGAAAUUGGUUCACGGCAUCACCAUCGCUGACUGCGACCGAGGGGGAAUUCGGGAAUGGUGAAAAGCAAUACACUAUAGGAGGCAAUGAGGUGUUUCCAUUUCUACAUUGGAGAGAAAAAAGAAUAGCCAAAGACGCGAAAGCCUAAUCCAGCACGUCCCUCAGUUACCGAUCGUGAACCGGGGCAAUCUGGCCUUGAGUCAAGAGGACACAGCCGAACCCCUAAUUUUCACGAGAUUAUGUAGUUUGUUUAUUUAUUCUGACAUGCCCUUCCACUUAUACUCACUCUUGUUUCUUCUAGCUUGAGAAUUGAUUCUUUCAAUAACUGAAAUCAAUUGAUUAAACUAAUAAUUGGAUCAAUUAUAAUUUUUAAGUUAUUUUACCUUUGUUAUUUGUACCUUAAAAUAUGUUAAAUUGUGUAUGAUGGCUAAUAUCUUGUUUCUCUUAUCUUGGCAUGAGUCAUUGAAAAAGUUGUCACGAUGGUUAACCAAUGUUCAACUCUUCCAAUGUACAAUGGAGUUGCUUUUUGAUCAAGAGCUUGAAGAAAAAUUAUGAGUCCUAGAUUAAUUGCGAGUUGUAGAUUAAGUGCUUAGUAAUUUAGACAUUUAAAAUUAUAUGUAGUUAGUAAUUUCAGAUUUGUACUUUGAUUUUGUUAAAUAUUUUUUUAUGUAAAUGUUCUGUAUGAUAUUCUUGUUAUAUUUAAUGUGUUGAGUAUUUGAUUUU